UCAAUAUCUCUAUCUCAUUCUCUCUUUAACCAAUGCUCUCCCUUCUCUCUAGAACCUUCUGGUUCCCUCCUUCUUCUCCGACGAGCUUCAUCGCCUCUCCAGCCAUGCUCCAUCCUCACUUCUCUCGACCUCUAGCCACCAUGGAUCCUGUAUCGUUGCUUCUCUCUCAAAGUUUUUAGCCCGAGAAGCUUCCACCAUGAAGAUGGUCACUGAAGCCUCGCCGGGUGUCUGUUUCCGGCCUUUCUCCGAUGAAUGUUUGUCUGAUGAUGCUAAAAACGCCAUUAUCUUUGAGCUUCACGACCAGAUUUCUCUUACCCCUCCCACUGGUUUCUUCUGAAACCCUAAUCAUUACCCAAACUUCUCAAACCUCUAAUUUUUAACGAUUUUUAACUCGUACCUAUAUGUUUUGUACUAUUUUUACUCGAUCUUUACGAUUAUUCCAGCUUUAAACGAUUUAUGUUCCCUUUUGAAACUAGGGUUUCUGACUCCUUUUUUAAAUCGCUUUAUUUUCUGGUUAUUGAGUUCUAAUUCGUAAUUCUCAGUAUAUUUUGUAUAUAUUUUUGCUAAGUUUGGUGAAUCCCUAUUAUGUUUGUGUUUGCAUUUUUUUGUGUUUUUCUCUAAGUUCUAUGCUCCUUGCUAGAAAGAGAACCAAUGGAAGGUGAAUUAACCAAACAAAAAAGGUAAAAAUCAA
rnacentral:lncRNA from 1 species